rnacentral:rRNA from 1 species
UACAUGCAAGUCGACUGCAUUUAGUUGCAGGGCAGACGGGUGAGUAACACGUUGGAAUCUGCCCCGAAGUGAGGGAUACCCCCGAGAAAUCGGGGAUUAAUACCGCAUAUGGCCCAAGGGUUAAAGCUUUUGCGCUUCGGGAGGAGCCUGCGUAGUAUCAGCUUGUUGGUGAGGUAAUGGCUCACCAAGGCUAUGACGCUUAGCUGGUCUGAGAGGAUGAUCAGUCACAAUGGAACUGAGACACGGUCCAUACUCC